GUUUUUGAGUAAUCGCGGUAGAUUUUUUUCUACUGAGGAAAGUCCAUGCUCGCACAAGCUGAGAUGCUUGUAGUGUUCGUGCUAGAUGAAACAAUAAGUCUAGGCGCAGAAGCGACGGCAGAUAAAAGAGCUAAGGUUUCGACUAUGCUUGAGUAGUCUUGAAAGUGCCACAGUGACGAAGUAUUUUUUGAAAAAAAAAUAGUGGAACGCGGUAAACCCCUCGAGCGAGCAACCCAAACUUAUGGUAGGGGCACUGAAUGAAUGGAAAUGAACGGCAAUUCAGGCUGAAAAGCAGAUAGAUGAUUACUGAUUUGUAUACAGGACCUAAUGUAUACAUUGAACAGAACAUGGCUUAUAGAA
rnacentral:RNase_P_RNA from 1 species